rnacentral:misc_RNA from 1 species
UACAGAGGGUGCAAGCGUUAAUCGGAAUUACUGGGCGUAAAGGGUGCGUAGGUGGUUUGUUAAGUUGGGUGUGAAAUCCCUGGGCUCAACCUGGGAAUUGCAUUUGAAACUGGCAAGCUAGAGUAUGGUAGAGGGAAGUGGAAUUUCCGGUGUAGCGGUGAAAUGCGUAGAUAUCGGAAGGAACACCAGUGGCGAAGGCGGCUUUCUGGACCAUAACUGACACUGAGGCACGAAAGCGUGGGGAGCAAACAGG